AGCGGCAUGUGGACUAAUCCCGAAGAGUAUGGUCUUUUUAUAUUACUAGUACAGUGCCCGUGCAUUGCCACGGGCUCUUAAGUUUUUCACUUUCACAUGUAAACAUAAUGCACACGAAAACCCAUUUGAUAGAAAAUUUGCUUUUCUAUGCAUAUAACAAGUGUAUAAGCACAACACACUGUUUGAAAGUAGAAGUUGACAUCAAGCCAUAAAAGAACUGUAGUAAUAUACGAAAUGCUGAAAAUUCAUGGUCCUGGGAUGAACAACCUGGAAGGCUGGAAGAGUCGAAGGUGAGGAGACCAAAGGCACCAUGACCUGAGGGCCUUGGCGAAUGGCGACCUUCGCCCAUGUUACUCAAACAUGUAUGUGUUGUAUUUGUUUGCAUGCUGUCAUGAGGAAGAGGGCCUCAGGCUCACAGCAGCAGACCCCAAUAAGUGAUAUGUAUCUGGCAACAUCUAGUUUUCUGCAGGUGGAAUAAUAUUGACACAGACCACACAUGAAAAUAAUAAUCUGUGGGAACGGUUACCAAAUAAGAACGCAAACACAAAUUUGUAGGUACUCUGAUAUGGUCAAAUAGACUGUACCUGACUUCCAUUGGCAUGAUCCAAAAGUGUGCAGUUGCAUAUAUAUGCUAAUCAAGCAUUUAUCCCUCUCCCGAAAUCAAAAUUAUUAGUCUCGUUGUAAGCUCCUGACCUUCUCUAUGAUUCAGACCCGACACUACUCUAAUGUAUCCCCAAUAAAAAUUAUUAGUCUCUUUGUAAGCUCCUGACCUUUGUCUAAGAUUCAGACCCAAAAAUGACACUACUCUAAUGUAUCCCCAAAUCAAAAUUAUUUGUCUCUUUGUAAGCUCAUGACCUUCUCUAAGAUUCAGACCCAAAAAUGACACUACUCUAAUAUAUGUAACCACUGAUGUUUUCUCAUGAUAAAAUGGAUUACUCCUAAUUAUUAAUUCACACAUGUAUCCUUGGAAUAGUCUACAAUUUGCUGAUGCCUAUAUGAUGCAUAACAACGAAGGUAAAGCACGCUCAGCUAGACCAUUAGUGUAUGACAAAACAUGGACUACUGUACAGCUCACAUACCUUCAGAUCACGGUUGAACUUUGUGAGUCCAGCAACUCCUUCAGGUGCGCAAUGGAUGACUCUGAAAUAAGCUUACUUGAGCAUAUUAACACUUCUUCAGUGCUCAUAACCCCUUCGUCUGAGCCAUCUUCUCCCCUCGAUCACCAUGUGACUUCUGAGGCUUCACAGGAGAAAACCUACCUGGACGAUUCUGGGAACUACAUGCUCCCUCCCAGCAAUGCUCUCAUCGACCUGCAUAUGAAGCCCCAAAUUACACCUCAGCGUGCAGAGAAUUAGGAAUCCUAGGUUUUCUGAUCAGUUAACAAUUCACAUAACAGAUUGCAAAUAAGUAUUUCUCACGGCUUUCAGCAAUGCCUUCUCAACGGAAUGCCUUGGACGAGGCAAUCCGGCAAUUUCAGGCAAUCCGGCAACCACUUGCAGCGCCUAAAAGACACCAAUUACGGAAGCACCCAAUCAAAUAGCGUCGGAGUACAGGAUGAGGGGCGGCGGGGCUACAGGAUUGAAGAUCCAGCCGCUCGUCGAAGUUCGCAGACACCGACGGCCUCGGCGCGUGCUGCAUCGAUGAGGGUCGCCAGCGAGCCAACAGCCACCUCGUCCAAGUUAUAGUCAGUCCUCGUCAGGGCGGGCCCAGGCGGCGAAGGCUCCAUCCGCGUCGGGCCGAUAGGAGCGCCAUGACCCGCGGGAUCUCCGCGAAGGAGUCCGGGCUGAGCGCGUUCCGCUGGUCCGGGCGGUUGAGCUGCACAUCGUAGACCGACGCCGAGGGGUCGGGAGGAGGGGGCCGGCGGCCCCGGGCACGGGCGUAGGAGGAGUGGAGCUGCGGAGGCAGGGGAGAAUUGCAUUUUUAGCAUUGUUGUUUGCGUGAUGAAAGCUUUAUCAUCGUCUUUGG
rnacentral:lncRNA from 1 species